rnacentral:rRNA from 1 species
AACCUCCGCAAUGUGAGAAAUCGCGACGGGGGGAUCCCAAGUGCCAUUCUUAACGGGAUGGCUUUUCAUUAGUGUAAAGAGCUUUUGGAAUAAGAGCUGGGCAAGACCGGUGCCAGCCGCCGCGGUAACACCGGCAGCUCUAGUGGUAGCAAUUUUUAUUGGGCCUAAAGCGUCCGUAGCCGGUUUAAUAAGUCUCUGGUGAAAUCCUGCAGCUUAACUGUGGGAAUUGCUGGAGAUACUAUUAGACUUGAGACCGGGAGAGGUUAGAGGUACUCCCAGGGUAGAGGUGAAAUUCUGUAAUCCUGGGAGGACCGCCUGUUGCGAAGGCGUCUAACUGGAACGGUUCUGACGGUGAGGGACGAAAGUUGAGGCGCGAACCGGAUUAGAUACCCGGGUAGUCCUAACUGUAAACGAUGCGGACUUGGUGUUGGGUGGCUUUGAGCUGCUUCAGUGCCGAAGGGAAGCUGUAAGUCCGCCGCCUGGGAGUACGGUCGCAAGACUGAAACUUAAAGGAAUU